UCACCGUUUGCUUGGUGGUAGAAUGCUCGCCUGCCACGCGGGCGCCCCGGGUUCGAUUCCCGGCCGAUGCU